GAUGUGAAAGACCUUCGGCUCAACCGAAGAAGUGCAUCGGAAACUGGGAAACUUGAGUGCAGAAGAGGACAGUGGAACUCCAUGUGUAGCGGUGAAAUGCGUAGAUAUAUGGAAGAACACCAGUGGCGAAGGCGGCUGUCUGGUCUGUAACUGACGCUGAGGCUCGAAAGUAUGGGUAGCAAACAGGAUUAGAUACCCUGGUAG
rnacentral:rRNA from 1 species